UAGCGUAGGGGCAAGCGUUGUCCGGAAUCAUUGGGCGUAAAGAGCUCGUAGGCGGUUUGUCGCGUCGGCUGUGAAAACUCGGGGCUCAACCCCGAGCCUGCAGUCGAUACGGGCAGACUAGAGUGCUGUAGGGGAGACUGGAAUUCCUGGUGUAGCGGUGAAAUGCGCAGAUAUCAGGAGGAACACCGGUGGCGAAGGCGGGUCUCCUGGGCAGUAACUGACGCUGAGGAGCGAAAGCGUGGGGAGCGAACAGG
rnacentral:rRNA from 1 species